rnacentral:miRNA from 1 species
GUUUGUGCAAAAGUAAUUGCAGUUUUUGUCGUCCAUUAAUUUUUAAUGGUAAAAACUGCAAUUACUUUUUCACCAACCUAAUACUUU